rnacentral:rRNA from 1 species
UACGUAGGCAGCGAGCGUUGUUCGGAAUUACUGGGCGUAAAGAGUGUGUAGGCGGUGCUCUAAGUUCGGUGUGAAAUCUCCUGGCUUAACUGGGCGGGGUCAGCGGAUACGGCAGAGCUUGAGCAAGCUAGGGGGCAAUGGAAUUCCCGGUGUAGUGGUGGAAUGCGUAGAUAUCGGGAGGAACACCAGUGGCGAAGGCGGUUGCCUGGGGCUUUGCUGACGCUGAUGCGCGAAAGCGUGGGGAGCGAUCCGG